GAUGAACGCUGGCGGCGUGCUUAACACAUGCAAGUCGAACGAUGAAGCCCAGCUUGCUGGGUGGAUUAGUGGCGAACGGGUGAGUAACACGUGAGUAACCUGCCCUUGACUCUGGGAUAAGCCUGGGAAACUGGGUCUAAUACCGGAUAGGAACGUCCACCGCAUGGUGGGUGUUGGAAAGAUUUAUCGGUCAUGGAUGGACUCGCGGCCUAUCAGCUUGUUGGUGAGGUAAUGGCUCACCAAGGCGACGACGGGUAGCCGGCCUGAGAGGGUGACCGGCCACACUGGGACUGAGACACGGCCCAGACUCCUACGGGAGGCAGCAGUGGGGAAUAUUGCACAAUGGGCGAGAGCCUGAUGCAGCGACGCCGCGUGAGGGAUGACGGCCUUCGGGUUGUAAACCUCUUUCAGUAGGGAAGAAGCGAAAGUGACGGUACCUGCAGAAGAAGCACCGGCUAACUACGUG
rnacentral:rRNA from 1 species